UGCUUUGCUGAGCCAAUGAAUGAAAUAUGGUCGCCGGAAGUGACAUAGCACUAGUCUCCUUGCUCAGCAUGUAUCAUGGAUCAUACGUAAACACAAUUUAACGUUUUAUUAUCAGGUCAAUGUUCCCGUAUUUCUAGAACUCUAUGACAAAUGGCGCAAGGAGGUGUGUUACUUCAGGCAUAGCAGUUUGGCCGUUAACUUAAUCGUCUGAAAAGAGUUGGGAAUUAAACUUGUUUUGAAUUUUCUUUAACCCGCAGUUAGUAUAUGGAAUAUUUUUGUUACCAACUGGACUAAAGUCUGUCAGCAGGAAUCUGGAAAUAUCUUCUUAAUAACGACCUCUGAUGAUGCCACUGCUGGAUACGUGAAAUGCAUCACUCCCUGUGGCCAAGAGGCUCCUGUCCUGUGAGGAUUGACCAACCACAAAGUUUUCUCAGGUCAGUCCAUUGACAGACUGAGAGCUGGGGCCUCUACACAGUUAAAGAAGCUCCGUGCAGUGGGCCAUUCAAUAAGCUGCCGCAUCUUUCACAGCUUUAUCAAAUCACUUAGUAUAGAGUGGGAAAACUUGCAAGGCUUUCAUAAAAUAUUCCUUUGGAAAAACAAUUAUAAUUAAUACUCCUUUAUCCCAAAAUAAACCCAGAAAACAUGCUGUUUCUUGUAAUAACC